rnacentral:rRNA from 1 species
GGGAUAACACUUGGAAACAGGUGCUAAUACCGUAUAACACUAUUUUCCGCAUGGAAGAAAGUUGAAAGGCGCUUUUGCGUCACUGAUGGAUGGACCCGCGGUGCAUUAGCUAGUUGGUGAGGUAACGGCUCACCAAGGCCACGAUGCAUAGCCGACCUGAGAGGGUGAUCGGCCACACUGGGACUGAGACACGGCCCAGACUCCUACGGGAGGCAGCAGUAGGGAAUCUUCGGCAAUGGACGAAAGUCCGACCGAGCAACGCCGCGUGAGUGAAGAAGGUUUUCGGAUCGUAAAACUCUGUUGUUAGAGAAGAACAAGGAUGAGAGUAGAACGUUCAUCCCUUGACGGUAUCUAACCAGAAAGCCACGGCUAACUACGUGCCAGCAGCCGCGGUAAUACGUAGGUGGCAAGCGUUGUCCGGAUUUAUUGGGCGUAAAGCGAGCGCAGGCGGUUUCUUAAGUCUGAUGUGAAAGCCCCCGGCUCAACCGGGGAGGGUCAUUGGAAACUGGGAGACUUGAGUGCAGAAGAGGAGAGUGGAAUUCCAUGUGUAGCGGUGAAAUGCGUAGAUAUAUGGAGGAACACCAGUGGCGAAGGCGGCUCUCUGGUCUGUAACUGACGCUGAGGCUCGAAAGCGUGGGGAGCGAACAGGAUUAGAUACCCUGGUAGUCCACGCCGUAAACGAUGAGUAAUAAGUGUUGGAGGGUUUCCGCCCUUCAGUGCUGCAGCA